rnacentral:rRNA from 1 species
UACGGGGGGAGCAAGCGUUGGUUCGGAUUUACUGGGCGUUAAAGGGCGCGGUAGGCGGAUCGUGACAAGUCGACUUUGUGAAAUCUCCGGGCUUAACUCGGAACGGUCAAGUGAUACUGUCGGACUAGAGUACAGAAGGGGCAACUGGAAGUUCUCGGGUGUAGCGGUGAAAUGCGUAGAUAUCGAGAGGAACACCUGCGGCGAAGGCGGGUUGCUGGGCUGAUACUGACGCUGAGGCGCGAAAGCCAGGGGAGCGAACGGG